rnacentral:lncRNA from 1 species
UACUUAUCACGUUUGACAAGUACAGAGGACAAAUUAUUGUCUGAAGCUCUCCUUGUAUCAAAAUCCUCAUAAAACCAUAGUAAGAAAAGUUAGUUUAACUCUAUGAGUUCAUUAGCAAAAUAUUUAGACAUAGAUUUAUUGCAAGUUUUUAAUAUGAAAUCAAACUUGAAAAGAUUUAUUUUAAACAAACUAAACUUAAAGUAUAAUAAGUUGCGGUAUUCAUCUUUAACUGAUGACAGAAAAAUAUGUCAUUUGGAAAUAAACUUAGAACUUACAGACUUUUUAAGAGAAAUAUAUAUUUUGAACCUUAUUUGGCUAUAGGUAAUAGAAAUCUGAGAAUUCAGAUGACAAAAUUCAGAAUUAGUAACCAUGAUCUAGAAAUAGAGAGAGGUAGAUACAGAGGACUUCAGGCA